rnacentral:misc_RNA from 1 species
AGCAGCCGCGGUAAUUCCAGCUCCAAUAGCGUAUAUUAAAGUUGUUGCAGUUAAAAGCUCGUAGUUGAAUUUCGGGAUUGACGUAAUGGUCGUGCCUUAAGGGGUAUGAACUGUUACUGUUGAUUUCUCACCUUCUGGAGAAUCUUGAUGUCCUUAAUUGGGUGUCUUGUGGAUCCAGGACCUUUACCUUGAAAAAUUAGAGUGUUUAAAGCAGGCAUUUUGCUCGAAUACAUUAGCAUGGAAUAAUAGAAUAGGACGGCAUGGUUCUAUUUUGUUGGUUUCUAGGAUCACCGUAAUGAUUAAUAGGGAUAGUUGGGGGCAUUAGUAUUCAAUUGUCAGAGUGAAAUUCUUGGAUUUAUUGAAGACUAACUACUGCGAAAGCAUUUGCCAAGGAUGUUUUCAUUAAUCAAGAACGAAAGUUAGGGAUCGAAGACGAUCAGAUACCGUCGUAGUCUUAACCAUAAACUAUG